rnacentral:rRNA from 1 species
UACGAAGGGGGCUAGCGUUGCUCGGAAUCACUGGGCGUAAAGGGUGCGUAGGCGGGUCUUAAGUCAGGGGUGAAAUCCUGGAGCUCAACUCCAGAACUGCCUUUGAUACUGGGGAUCUCGAGUCCGGAAGAGGUGAGUGGAACUCCGAGUGUAGAGGUGAAAUUCGUAGAUAUUCGGAAGAACACCAGUGGCGAAGGCGGGUCAC